AUACUUACUGGCAGGGGAGACACCAUGAUCAUGAAGGUGGUUUUCCCAGGGCGAGGCUUACCCAUUGCCCAAGUAAAAAGUGGGGAAUUGGGUUUUGUUUUGUAUGCAUUUUCCCCCUACAUUUCUACCAGUUUUAUUCUUUCUUUUUUAAUUCUUAUUUAU
rnacentral:snRNA from 12 species